AUUGAACGCUGGCGGCAUGCUUUACACAUGCAAGUCGAACGGCAGCACGGGGGCAACCCUGGUGGCGAGUGGCGAACGGGUGAGUAAAGCAUCGGAACGUGCCCUGGAGUGGGGGAUAACGUAGCGAAAGUUACGCUAAUACCGCAUAUUCUGUGAGCAGGAAAGCAGGGGAUCGCAAGACCUUGCGCUCUGGGAGCGGCCGAUGUCGGAUUAGCUAGUUGGUGGGGUAAAGGCUUACCAAGGCGACGAUCCGUAGCGGGUCUGAGAGGAUGAUCCGCCACACUGGGACUGAGACACGGCCCAGACUCCUACGGGAGGCAGCAGUGGGGAAUAUUGGACAAUGGGCGCAAGCCUGAUCCAGCCAUGCCGCGUGUGUGAAGAAGGCCUUUUGGUUGUAAAGCACUUUAAGCGAGGAGGAGGCUACCUGGAUUAAUACUCUGGGAUAGUGGACGUUACUCGCAGAAUAAGCACCGGCUAACUCUGUGCC
rnacentral:rRNA from 1 species